GACGAACGCUGGCGGCGUGCCUAAUACAUGCAAGUAGAACGCUGAAGGAGGAGCUUGCUUCUCUGGAUGAGUUGCGAACGGGUGAGUAACGCGUAGGUAACCUGCCUGGUAGCGGGGGAUAACUAUUGGAAACGAUAGCUAAUACCGCAUAAGAGUGGAUGUUGCAUGACAUUUGCUUAAAAGGUGCACUUGCAUCACUACCAGAUGGACCUGCGUUGUAUUAGCUAGUUGGUGGGGUAACGGCUCACCAAGGCGACGAUACAUAGCCGACCUGAGAGGGUGAUCGGCCACACUGGGACUGAGACACGGCCCAGACUCCUACGGGAGGCAGCAGUAGGGAAUCUUCGGCAAUGGACGGAAGUCUGACCGAGCAACGCCGCGUGAGUGAAGAAGGUUUUCGGAUCGUAAAGCUCUGUUGUAAGAGAAGAACGAGUGUGAGAGUGGAAAGUUCACACUGUG
rnacentral:rRNA from 1 species